GAGCGUUUUGGAAAAUAAGGUAAAAUUAGCACACUAGUUUUAAAUGAUUUGCAGGCUACAUAAUUUUAUCCAAUGCUUAUUUUAUCUUUUAAACAUUAAGUGAUAACUUUUACUUGGCAUAAUCAUCUUGCUGGAAAUCUAUGCUGAUAAACAUAAUAGGAACAUGAAACUAACUUGGAGACUAGAGCUAAGAUUAAAAUUACAGAGAUGACAGCUCAUUGUACAGAGCAUCAAAAGGCUGAGUGAUCGGGGCCCACAGACAGCAGCUCCACCAACUGUCCACCACCAGGGAAAUGAGAGUUCGUGAUCAAAGCAUGAAGGAGACUGGGGAUGUUUUUUUCAAGAAGGCAAAGACAGCCUCUUGAAUGAUGUGAACAGUGAUGGCUUUCUCUGAGAGUAAGACAAAAAAAGCUUUGUAAAUGGUGCCGAAUUUCCUGCUCUUGGCACGCCCUGCUCAGCACAGAAGAAAAGACUGAUCAGGUUGUCCAAGAUGGAACCCUUUAUCCACUUUAGUCCACUUAUCUCUUUAAGAUUAAAGGAAAGCAGUCAUUAAAAA